AUGCACCUCCCUUCUCAAAUAAUUGGAAAGGCCAUUUGGCCUUUCCAAAGCAGAGGCCGAGCGCCUCUGCUGUUUAAAAAGUAAAAAAGAAGAAAAGAAAAAGGGUCAUUUGACCCGAGAGAAAAAGAAACAGAAGGAGAGGAUUUUUCUUUAAGGUUUUUCAUACAAAAAUCAUGAUCUACGAAGAUCCAACCGUCCAAACUCAAAUCCUAUUUCGGAAACGUGAUCUACGAAGCCCGAUCUACGUUUCUAUCGAUUGGUUUAAGGAUUUGUUGUGUGGAGCUUGCUAAACACUCUCCAAUUGUUGGAUUUACAUUUGGUGGAAUUUUUGGUUUAGUGGAUCUAAUGAAUGACGUCGUAGCAUAGUACUUGGGAUGUUGUGACUGAAGCCUGACGCGACAGUUAUAAUGGUUGGACCUUGGGUUGUCUGCCUUUUGGUAGACUUUGUUUAUGGCUCUUGUCGCAUAUGACACUUGUAUUUAUGAGCCAAUCUUUUGGUAUGUAUUUAAUAGCUAUGUAGAAGCCUUAAACAGAUAGACAUAUUAAUGGAUCUUUUGUUGUGAUUAAUUGUUGUUUAUGGAUGUACCUUUCGCUA